rnacentral:rRNA from 1 species
ACUCCUGCGGGAGGCAGCAGUGGGGAAUAUUGGACAAUGGGCGCAAGCCUGAUCCAGCCAUGCCGCGUGAGUGAUGAAGGCCCUAGGGUUGUAAAGCUCUUUCACCGGUGAAGAUAAUGACGGUAACCGGAGAAGAAGCCCCGGCUAACUUCGCGCCAGCAGCCGCGGUAAUACGAAGGGGGCUAGCGUUGUUCGGAUUUACUGGGCGUAAAGCGCACGUAGGCGGACUAUUAAGUCAGGGGUGAAAUCCCGGGGCUCAACCCCGGAACUGCCUUUGAUACUGGUAGUCUUGAGUUCGAGAGAGGUGAGUGGAAUUCCGAGUGUAGAGGUGAAAUUCGUAGAUAUUCGGAGGAACACCAGUGGCGAAGGCGGCUCACUGGCUCGAUACUGACGCUGAGGUGCGAAAGCGUGGGGAGCAAACAGGAUUAGAUACCCCAGUAGUCCCAUG